CUCCUUUCGCCAACGAGGGAUUGAGGGGAUCCGACCGGGAGAAAAACACACCACAGCAAGAUCCACAAGCAGUGAGACCAGGAGACUGGGUGUUCAUCAAAAUCAUCAGAAGGAAGGACUGGGCGAGCCAAAGGUGGGAAGGACCAUACCAAGAGCUCCUGACCACGCCAACAGCUGUGAAGAUUGCUAAAAGGCCAUCCUGGAUUCACCUCAGCCACUGUAAGUUACAGAGAGUGUUAAGUGCCUAAAGGUUGGAACAGUGGGGAAGUCCGACUUCAAAGGGGCCACUCGUCUCAACGUCGGUGAAGAAAUCAACUGUUCUUUAGAGUCCUGGGUAAAAUUAACAUCUCUGCUAACCUAGCAAAAAUGGCUGCCAUGAAAAUUUGGCUGGGAAAUCUCCCAGACCAUCACCCAGACAAUUUGUGGCAGAUGUAUGUGACGAUGUUGGCUGAAGAGAAGAACAUGAGUAACUGCUACAUAUGCUCAGUGAUGCCUAAAUCCACCAGACAACCCACACUGUAUGCUAAGAGCAUGCCGGCAGGAGACGGAACGUGUUUCCUGAGGACAGCCCUUGCACCUGUGUUUAUUUCUGACCACACUAUCAUCAUCUCAGCUCAGGCUGUGAAGGACCAUCAUCCCGCUAAUAGGAGGAGAAGAGAACUCAGCUCCAGCUCAGUUUUCCAGCCCCAUGAUCCCAUGUGGGGUUCCAACGUUCCCACUGAACAUAAGCACUGGAGCACAGCGAAUAAAAUAGGACUUUCACGUUCCCGUGGUUUGGAGUUGGUAAAUCUAUGCUGUUGAUUGAGACACUGGAUGUAGAAUGAAGACCUUGGUGAACAUGACGAUGGACAUCAACAAAGGACAAAACAAACAAGUGAAAUGCGUUUAAUGGUACUGUAAAACAGAAUGUUUUUGGACAUGUAAACUGCUAGCCAAGAUGGCGUAUGUGUAAUGAUUGGAAUUUCCUGCUGUACAUACAUUUCUGAUGCAAAUGAAACUCAUAUUACUGAAGCUAUGUCUGCUUUGAAGAAUCUGCAACAAGCAAUUUCCCAGGAUGUUGUUCCUCUAAGUAUGAACUUUCUCUCUUGGUUCUUUUCAGGAUCGUGGUGGCAUCUCUUGCUGAAAAUAAUGACACCUAUUAUUAUUGUUCUUAUUAUUAUUUGUGUUUUUACUGCUUGUGUAAUCCCAUGCCUAAAGUCUAUGAUUGCUAAAACUAUGGGAAGUGUAGUAUUUCAAUAUCAAAUGCUUUCACAAAUCCCUCUUGAAGAAAUACAACCUGUAGUUUAACUUUUCCCUUGUUAAAUGUUUAACAAAUUGACAGUCUCAUUGAAAAUGCAGAAUGCAAGAAAAGAAUAUUUGAAGUAGGUUAAGUUAAGCUUUCAAUAAAAUGAUUAAAAGGGGGGAAAUGUU